GGGGGGGGGAGAUGGGGGAAGGGUGGAGAGGCGGUACGGAGGGGCGAAUGUUAGGUGUGCAGGUGUACCUAUUUUGGUAGUACUAGCUGGCUUGGCGUUGAAGAGGCUUCUUGUUUGCGUCCUGAUGAAAGAGGGAAAACCACCAGUUUCCAUGUUCUUAAGCAGAUGCCCUGUGAUCUUAAAAUUUCUUCAGUAACUUUAACCAUAUUUGUACGCUCUAGCCUAGUAAUUUCACAUGUGGGAUAACCAUUUUAGGAAAUUGGCCUACCAGAGAAAAAAUAAAACAAUGAUGUCCGUUGUAGGAGUAUAACAGGAAAAUUGAAAAAGAACCUCAAGUUCCACGAGAGAAGUGGUUAAGUAAACUAACAUCUUCAGAAUGAGAUAUUUUGUGAUGUUUUCCACAUUUAAGGUAGUUUCAACAUCAAUGUAAAUUUUUUCUAUAUAUAAUAAUUCAUCAUUUACUCUUCAACAAAGAAUUGAUGAGUUGGAGAAGUGCUCUAUUCAUGGGUUGGCCACAGGAGAAGGAUAGAACAUAAUCGCUGCCCUAAAAGAGAGCAUCUUCUAGUAGAGGAGCUCAGAUACAUAUACAAAAAACAGCUGGGUAUCCGUACAAGUCAGCGUGUGAUGUUGGUUCCAAAGUUGACCUGUAUAGGUUUAUACACAAAUACAUAUUUUAUGGAAACACAAGAAACUAGUCAUUGUGGCUGCCUCCACAGUGGGAACUGUAGGACAAGGGAAGAAAGGGCUGAGGACAGAGCUGGGGCCAACUACUGCGGCACAGAGCGUGGACCACCGUGGGCCCACAGUGUAUAUUUCAGUUUGCUUUUGUCGUCUGAAUGACCAAGCCCUGGGAUUCUGCAGCUGUAGCUGUCAAGAAACUGUCACAGGGACUUUCCCCACAAUGUGGACAACCCCAGGAUUCAGGCCUCAGCUUCCCAGGCUGAGAGGCCAAUGGUGGGGGAGCUCAGCGCUCAGCUCCAGCAAAGGCAGACCGUCCUCCCUUUCCUCCCAUCCUUAGGCAGGAGCUGGCAGGAGAUCAGAUGCUACUUUAAUUCCAAGGGGCUCAUGAACAAAAGCUGCCAAGUUGCUUAGAAACCUGCUUUUCUGAGGGUUCACCAGGUUUUCCUUUGUUUCUAUGGCAUUGUGUGUGUGAGUGUGCAUGAGCACACUGAGGGCCAUCACCCUGCCAGGUCUGCAGCAAGCGGGACCAGAACGUGAGAACUGCGGGCUGCCUGGGAUACCGUUGCAGUCCCCAGGUAUCGCCAAGCCAGGCAGCCCAGGCGUUUGAGGGGCAACAAAGGGGAGCCAGCUGCCUUCGGCCAGAGGUGGACAGAGCUGUGAGCAGCUGCAGGAAGGAAGCUUUGGAUACUGAAUCCUGUACUCACUCGCUUCAGCAACAGCCCAGAAGCCCUAGCAUGGGAGAUACCAACAACAGAACCGAGAGGGGACACCACUCUCAUCCCCUCGCUGAGCUUGGAAAAUAAAUUCUUGAGAUCAGUGUCACUGCAAA